rnacentral:rRNA from 1 species
AUGCUUACAAAGGCGCAAUGGAUCGCCCUGUCGAAAGAAAAGCAAGGCCAAUCUACGAGCAGCGGCAAGAAGAAGGGGAAGGGGAAGCAGCGCUCGGCGAGAAAGAACUUUGCCGACUCGGACGACGAGGAUGCGCCUGCACCACCGAGGAGGAAGUUUGACAUCAGAAAAGUGAGGUGUCAUAAGUGUGGCCUCCUCGGUCACUUCAAGGCUAACUGCGAGGAAGCACCGAAGCAACGGGCGCUUAUGGCCGAGGAAGGAGACGAUGGGGAUAUGAUGCUAAUGUGCGAG